rnacentral:SRP_RNA from 1 species
GCUGGGUACAGUGGCGUGCCCAUGUAGUCCCUGGUACUCUGGAGACUGAGGCAGGAUUGCUCAAGCCUAGUAGUUCUGGGCUGUAGUGUGCCGUAGCAAACAGGUGUCUGUGCUAAAUUGGGCAUUAAUGUGACCUCCUGAUUGCCUAAGGAGGGUAAAGUGCUCAGGUAGGUAACUGAGCAGAUCAAAACUGAUCAUUAGUGGAAUGGCACCUGUUAAUAGCCACUAAACUUCAGCCUGGGCAAAACAGUAAGACCCUGUCUCUA